UUUUGGACAAUGGGGGAAACCCUGAUCCAGCAAUGCCGCGUGAGUGAAGAAGGCCUUCGGGUUGUAAAGCUCUUUCGUCCGGGAAGAAACACCGGCUCUAACACAGUCCGGGAAUGACGGUACCUGAAGAAUAAGCACCGGCUAACUACGUGCCAGCAGCCGCGGUAAUACGUAGGGUGCGAGCGUUAAUCGGAAUUACUGGGCGUAAAGCGUGCGCAGGCGGUUAUACAAGACAGGCGUGAAAUCCCCGGGCUUAACCUGGGAAUGGCGCCUGUGACUGUAUAGCUAGAGUGUGUCAGAGGGGGGUAGAAUUCCACGUGUAGCAGUGAAAUGCGUAGAUAUGUGGAGGAAUACCAAUGGCGAAGGCAGCCCCCUGGGAUAACACUGACGCUCAUGCACGAA
rnacentral:rRNA from 1 species